rnacentral:rRNA from 1 species
AGAGUUUGAUCCUGGCUCAGAACGAACGCUGGCGGCAGGCUUAACACAUGCAAGUCGAACGGCAGCACGGGGGCAACCCUGGUGGCGAGUGGCGAACGGGUGAGUAAUACAUCGGAACGUGUCCUGUAGUGGGGGAUAGCCCGGCGAAAGCCGGAUUAAUACCGCAUACGAUCUACGGAAGAAAGCGGGGGAUCGCAAGAGACCUCGCGCUAUAGGGGCGGCCGAUGGCAGAUUAGACUAGAUUGGGUGGGGGUAAAGGGCCUACCCCAGGGCCGACCGAUUCUGGUAAGCCUGGGUUCUUGGAAGAAGGGAACCGAACCCCAGCCCCCACCCACCUUGGGGGGAAACCUGGAAAGAAAACCACCGGGGGCCCCCCCAGAAAACGUUCCCCCUUACCGGGGGGGAAAGGGGCCAAGCCCAAGUUGGGGGGGGAAA